GUUACUCUUCUGUCUUUUCCAAAUACAACAAACAUACAUCUCCUGUACACACCCUAUACAUACGCGUCUUCUUCCUCACGCACGCUCAAAGACCAAUGCAACCUACAACACCAACAACUCUUUCCUACAAAAUCCCCCAAAAUUCGUCGGAUUUCAAGGUCAUCCAUCUCCCUCAAGUCAAUAUGGGAGUAGAUAACCCAUCCGUUUGUCAUCCUUUUCUUUCUACUUUUCCUAAUCUUUGAAAGACUUUGAGAAUUCAAACAAGAUCUUGGAGAAGAUUUUCCUUUACCCCUCUUAAAAGGCUCCAAUUUAAAAUUCAAAUUUGCUAUUUUUUGCUAUAAAUCGAGCAUUCGUAUCCAUUGAAAAAGGGGAGUGAAGGGGGAGGAACAAUUGAAAUACAGAGUAUUCAGUAGUCAUUUUGGGGGAAGACAAGAUUUUUAUUGGGGGAAUUUUUGAGCGCUAAACAGAGAACACCCCGUAAAGUUUUUGGGAGUUCUUAGUUUUAUAGCUGAAAUUUCGUUGCUUUCGUAGCAUUUUGAGUAGGAAGUCGGUGGUGGAAUCGUCUCCUCGACUUGUUUUUCGGUUCGCUGCCAGAACCAGGAUGGAGCGGUGCAUUGAUGACACUCGGUUCGGGAGUACUCCCCAUGAUGUACGGUUGGUCGCUGAUUCUAAUUCGGUCUAAUCCCUUGGAUACAGAUACCCGAUCAAAGUCCGUGGUCCAGCUUACUUGUGUUUGGCUCUUUAGCUACUGAUAUCCGGCCAAAGUCAGUGGUUCAGCUUAUUUGUGUUCAGGCUUCCUAGCUACAGUUACUCGGUUAAACUCUACGGUCUAGCUUACCCGUGCUCGACCUUUGACUACAGUUAUCCGGUUAAAGUCCGUGGGCUAGCCUACUCAUGUCGACUCAUUAGCUAUAGCUACCCAGUUGCAGUCUGUGGUCCAGCUUGCACAUGGUUAAAUUCCUGAUUUUCUGAUGAAUUUUUGGUUUAAGUCUUCAUCUACUCUUAGUUGUGGGUUGAGGUGUUAGAGUUUGGAAUUGGUUCGGUUCAAGUCCAGGAAAUGGUGAUUUUAUUGAAAUCUAGUGGUUCCAUUCAUAUUCUUCCAGCUAUUCACGCAUUUGUCGGGCUUAUGGGAGUCUGUGCAGUUUGUUUUUGCUUAGCUUGCUAAGUCGGCCUAUGAUGUCUACUGGAUACUUGUUGUUUGGUACUCAUACUACACUCUGCAUCUGUUUUCAUGAUGCAUGUCCGAGUACUAGCUACUGACGUUAAUUCGAGCUAAGCUGCGGUCGAGAUCGGAGGUGAGGGUGAGCACACUGUGUCUUGAAUUUACCUGUCUCCAUCUGUAUAUAUAUAUAUUGCUUGUUUUUUGCUUUUUGAGACAACUCUGUUUCUGUGGUCCACUUUUGUGACUUGUACUCUUUUAUUAGCAACUCUAUACAUGUGACUUCUAGGUUCUGGGAGGGAUCUUUUUGGUUUGUAUAUACUUAGUUGCUUCCGCUCGUU